rnacentral:misc_RNA from 1 species
UCCGGCUUGUCGCCGGCGGUCCCUUUAGAGUGCCCAACUAAAUGAUGGCAACUAGAGGCGAGGGUUGCGCUCGUUGCGGGACUUAACCCAACAUCUCACGACACGAGCUGACGACAGCCACGCAGCACCUUCUCACUCGUUCCCCGAAGGGCACUACCACAUCUCUGCGGUAUUCGAGUGGAUUUAACCCAGGUAAGGUUCUUCGCGUUGCGUCGAAUUGAACCACAUGCUCCACCGCUUGUGCGGGCCCCCGUCAAUUCCUUUGAGUUUUAGCCUUGCGGCCGUACUCCCCAGGCGGAGUGCUUAAUGCGUUAACUGCGGCACUGCAGGGGUCAAUACCCGCAACACCUAGCACUCAUCGUUUACGGCGUGGACUAC